AUCUUAAAGUAGCUGUCUUCUUCACUUGCAGGUCUGAGGAUGAAGAGGAAAUGGACUGGAAACCACCUUUACGUAUACCUCAAGUGAAUGGUCCUGGUGAUGACGAGGACUCCAGGGGACAUGUGUAGUCAAUCGAUUUUCACUCCGCUAGAGAAUCUCGAAACACUAAACACGCGUGUCUGCGUGUAAUCUCGCGUGUCUGGAUGUAAGAUUUGGCUUUAAUUAUUUGCUUCAGGCAGAAAGUUCUCUCCCAUCCUAAAUGUACAGCAGCCGUUCGACAAACAUCAUUUAGUAAAGAUGGAAGGUAAAUUUUACAUGUUACGUUUCAUCUCACGGGAACAAUUUCUUUGUUUACCCAUGUAAAAUUAUUGUUUUUUGAAUAUUUUUCAAAGUCAAGGAAAGCAUGUGAAAAGAACAUAGAUAACAUUUUCAUAAUGAUAAAAUAACAUGUUUUUCUCAUUAAAACUUUCACUUUGCGAAGAUA